GAUGAACGCUAGCGGCAGGCCUAAUACAUGCAAGUCGAGGGGCAGCAGGUUCGAGUUUACUUGAAUGCUGGCGACCGGCGAACGGGUGCGUAACGCGUAUGCAACCUACCCAUAACAGAGAGAUAGCCCGUGGAAACAUGGAUUAAUAUCCCAUAAAGCAGGGGUCUCACAUGGGACUAUUUGCUAAAGACUUCGGUUGGUUAUGGAUGGGCAUGCGUCUGAUUAGUUAGUUGGUGAGGUAACGGCUCACCAAGGCGAUGAUCAGUAGCGGGUCUGAGAGGAUGAUCCGCCACACUGGAACUGAGACACGGUCCAGACUCCUACGGGAGGCAGCAGUAGGGAAUAUUGGUCAAUGGGGGCAACCCUGAACCAGCCAUGCCGCGUGCAGGAAGACGGCCUUCUGGGUUGUAAACUGCUUUUAUCAGGGGGGAAGGCAAAAGAUGCGUCUUUUGAUUGACAGUACCUGAUGAAUAAGCACCGGCUAACUCCGUGCCAGCAGCCGCGGUAAUACGGAGGGUGCAAGCGUUGUCCGGAUUUAUUGGGUUUAAAGGGUGCGUAGGCGGAGCAAUAAGUCAGUGGUGAAAGUCCAUCGCUCAACGAUGGGAUUGCCAUUGAUACUGUUGUUCUAGAGUAAAGUUGAGGCAGGCGGAAUUUAUGGUGUAGCGGUGAAAUGCAUAGAUACCAUAAGGAACACCGAUAGCGCAGGCAGCUUGCUAAACUUUAACUGACGCUGAGGCACGAAAGCGUGGGGAGCGAACAGGAUUAGAUACCCUGGUAGUCCACGCUGUAAACGAUGAUCACUCGAUGUGUGCGAUAUACUGUACGUGUCCAAGCGAAAGCGUUAAGUGAUCCACCUGGGGAGUACGACCGCAAGGUUGAAACUCAAAGGAAUUGACGGGGGUCCGCACAAGC
rnacentral:rRNA from 1 species